UUAAUGUCGAGCGUGUAGUUCAUUGGUCAUUUUGCGAAAUCCCCCUCAUAUUUACAAAACUCUCUCAAACAAGCACCUCCGCCCGUGUCUUCUUCACCCAGCCUCGCCUGUGCAUCGCCGGCCGGCGCCACCCAGCGAUUUACCUCCCUGUUGCCUCCGCUGCUGGAUCUGUUGCCACCGCCACCAGAUCUGUUGCCGCCGCCGCCAAUUACCUCCUCCGUCGCCACAGCCUAGAUUUGCGCCGCCGGAUCCCUUCCCGCUGAGGUUACCUGCCGGCGUCAUCCUCGAGCUCCUGUCGGCGUCGGAACCUUCCUCCACUUCCUCCUCUGGCUCCCGUGCAUCCUUCCCCAGCCGGAACCUGUGCUAUUGCGGCUCCUCUGCUGGAGUUGCCGCUCUCCCUCUACUCCCCCGCCGUCCGCCGGAGGUGCUGCUGCUCCUCCCCACGGUCUCCUGUGUCUGAGCUGUUGCUGCUCCUCUGCUGGAGUUGCCGCUCUCCCUCUGCUCCCCCGCCACCCGCCGGAGCUGCUGCUCCUCCUCCCCAUGGUCUCGUGUGUCUGAGCUGCUGCUGCUCCUCUGCUAGAGUUGCCGCUCUACCUCUGCUCCCCCGCCGCCCGCCGGAGCUGCUGCUUCUCCUCCCCACGGUCUCCUAUGUCUGAGCUGCUGCUGCUGCUCUUCUGUUGGAGUUGCCGCUCCUCUGAUGGAGCUAGUGCCGCUCUGCACCUGAAGAAGUUCUGAACUGGAGAGCAUUGGUGCCGUCCUGAAUUCGCUGUCGUUCGUCCCCGUGCCGUCCGGCCUCGCCACAAACAGCUUAGCUUUGUUGCUGCUUAUACUGUUUGUUGGCUGCUCGCCAUUGCUCUGCUUGCUACUGCUCGUGGGCUGCCUGUACUUAGAGAAAGAGAGAGCUUUUUUGCUAUACAGUUUGCUUGUGUGCUUGUCCAGCUAGCUUGCACACACGUAGCUUUCCUAGGUGAUUUGAUCUACCAAGUUUAGAUACCAAAAUAUGAGGCCAAGUCAAGUUUACUCUAAUAUUUGAUCUGUCAAGAAAAUCACAGAAAAAUGCUCAACCUGCCGAAUUUCUAAAAUCCAUAAAAAAAAUCAUUCCAGUUCUGUUUGGAGUAGUACUGCUAUGGAGUUGGGAUGGUUUAACUUGUACUGUAGACAGAGAAAUGAGUAUAUUCCGUAUUGUUGUUUAGAAAUAAAAGAUUAUGUACCCUAAAAAACAUGUAUUCAAAUAUUUAAAAGCAUAUUUAACUUGUACUGGUGAAUACGUACGUGCUUUAAGCUCAUCCAACUUACUUUUGAAAAUGAACAAAUCCCUCUCAAAACAUAUUUUAAUACAUGAUACUUAUGCAGACAUAUCCACUUUAAUUUUCUGGUACACAAUAGUUAAAAAAUAGAAACUGCUAAUUUUAUGGAAGUGUUUGAAACUGCUACCUGAAACUGUUGCUGUUUGAAAAUGGUGCUAUGGGUUCUACUUGAAACUAUGGAACCUUUUUGACAGCAAAAGAACAUGAGUAUUAUAUUUAGAAACACAUUUUAGAGUAGAUUCAUUUAUUUUGCUCCGUAUGUAGAUCCCUAGUGAAAUCUCUUAAAAGAGUUAUAUUUAGAAACGAAUGAAGUAAUUAGAAAAAUAUUAUAAAUCAACCGAUUGAUUUUGUCGUUGUGUAAACCGCCUCUCCUCAUUGACGCAUGUCGUUUGGAGCCAACCGUCCGCUUAUCCCUCGUAGGGUUAUCUCCACGCAGCUAGCAUCUCGGUCGCAGCAGUUGCGUCGCGUUGCCCGUCGUGUGCUUCAUCACCUUCGUAACGUCAAACAACGAUGUCACGUGCGCUUGGCGUUGUUGUAGUGGAGCGCUUGUCGCUGGCUCCCGGUGCUGCGAUGCAGCGCUCGCGCGGUGGCUUGGAGCUCGAUGCGACAAGGGAUCUUCAUUGGCAGCUACAAUGGAGCUUCAUCGACGUCGCCCAGAACACCCUGUCGUCGUUGCAGCCGCAUGUGCGCGGUAGUGUUGCAUAGGGGUGGAUUAACGAGCUACUCGGCUCGUUAAGCUCGUGCUCGUUAAGCUUGUGCUCAUUAAGGCUCAACUCGUUAAGCUCGUUAGGAUUAACGAGCUGAAAACCCUGCUCGGCUCGGCUCGUUUUAAACUCGUUAAGCUCGUGAGCACUCGCGAGCGCUCGUUAACAAAUUUUGGUGUGUUACAGUCUAUAUGAUAAAUGUGUAGAUGUGGUUUUCAAGAAGAAAAGAUGGGGCCAACAAAAAUAAUUCACUAAGUGUGUUACUUCCUAUAUAGAUUAGAUUGAAUAGAUGGGAUGAGGUGCUACGUAAAUUUUGGCAUGUAAGAUUGAAAUAUGUUGUAUUGUUACUAAUGAGCUUAACGAGCUACUCGUGAAGCUUAACGAGCUGAAA